rnacentral:misc_RNA from 1 species
GAUGAAGAACGCAGCGAAAUGCGAUAAGUAAUGUGAAUUGCAGAAUUCAGUGAAUCAUCGAAUCUUUGAACGCAUCUUGCGCUGCUUGGUAAUCUGAGGAACAUGCCUGUUUGAGUGUCAUUAAAUUCUCAACUACACUGACUUUGAAUUGGUGUGGCUUGGAUUUGGGGGGAAAAUUGUUGUGGGCUUUUUGUAUAGUCUGCUCCCCUGAAAUUGAUUAGCGGUACCUUUGUGGAACUGUCUACAGGUGUGAUAAUUAUCUACAUCUUAAACAUCUGCUGGAAUGCUGCUUUCUAAACCUUACUUGUAUUGACAAUCUUGACCUCAAAUCAGGUAGGACUACCCGCUGAACUUAAGCAUAUCAAUAAGCGGAGGA